rnacentral:rRNA from 1 species
AUUGAACGCUGGCGGCAGGCCUAACACAUGCAAGUCGAUCGAGCGGCGGACUGGUGAUUAAUGUAUGGGGACUGCCCGAUAGAGGGGGAUAACUACUGGAAACUGUAGCUAAUACCGCAUACUAUCGGAUAACCCAUAUGGGAUUAGCUAGUAGGUGAGGUAAUGGAUCACCUAGGCGACGAUCCCUAGCUGGUCUGAGAGGAUGAUAAGCAACACUGGGACUGAGAAAAGGCCCAGACGCCUACGGAGGCAGCAGUGGGGAAAAUUGAACAAUGGGAGCAAGCCUGAUGCAGCCAUGCCGCGUGUAUGAAGAAGGCCCUAGGGUUGUAAAGUACUUGCAGUCGGGAGGCGUUACCGACAGAAGAAGCAACGGCGAACUUCGUGCUAGCAGCCGCGGUAAUUC